GUCGCCUCCGAACCUCCGUGGAGAGUAGACCUGCUCGGCCGCUCGUUGAACAGUGCGUACUAUGGUGAACAAACUGCCCAAUUACCAUGAUGAGAUACAUCACAAACGCUUUUCAGUAAUGUUUGCCAAGAUAUAACACCUAUACUCACCAACGUCACUGAAAAUACAGGAAAAUGUGAGGUACGUGUUAGAAACAGCAGAUCAUAAGCGGACGUGAUAUAAUGCAAGCCGAGUCUCAUGGCGCAGCA